CUGCAUCCUUAACCAUGCUGCCUUUCUUCCUCUGUGGGGGAAGAUUUCAUUGCAUGACAUAUUUAAAUGCUUCUGCCUUUCUGCCUGCUUUACUGUGGUUCCUGUGGGACUUCUCACUGUAUUUGCAUGGUUCCUUGAGCCGUUAUGAGAGAGAUUUGAUGGAGAUGUCCUUUUUAGGACUAAGUGUUUCAACACCCAACACCUUUUACUCGCUGCAUAGUGUCUGAUGAUCUACUAAAGGAUUGAAGACAUGAAUGAUGCUAAAAUACUUUGUGGAACAUAAUCUACAGUGCUUGGAGGCUUGAUUGGGAAGUGCAGCGUACAUUACCUCAUUUAAACAACAGUUUACCAUUUAUUAUGUAACAUUCUAUAACAGUCUAAAUUCAAUUAAUUUUAACAAAAAUACAAGUAAAAUAUUAAGUUUUUUGACUUUCAAAUGUAGUCUUGCUUGGUUAGUAUUGUAUAAGAGUCUGCUAAAUGCAGCAUCGCUACCCAUGAAUUUUAAUUUUGCCUUUUAUUUACAUCUAUGAUGUUUUACCUUUCUACUUAAUAGCUGCUUAAUCUGAGGAGCAGAUAGGAAGCCAAAGUAGAAAUUUGAAAAGUUAUAAAUUAUGUAAAACUGCAUAGUAAAACAAAAAAAUAAAUCAAAGAAAAUAU